rnacentral:rRNA from 1 species
UCGUAGUUGGAUCUCAGGCCGAGGUCCGCGGGUCCCACGGUUGUGGGCUACUCGCGGCCUGGUCAGAAUUUACUAAGCCGUACCUCGACGCCUUUAAUCGGGUGACUUGGUCGCUUAGUACGUUUACUUUGAAAAAAUUAGAGUGCUCAAAGCAGGCGCAACGCCUGAAUAAUCUUGCAUGGAAUAAUGGAAUAGGACCUCGGUUCUAUUCUGUUGGUCUUUGGAACCCCGAGGUAAUGAUUAAGUGGGACAGUCGGGGGGAUUCGUAU